rnacentral:lncRNA from 10 species
UUUCAUUAUAAAACAGAAGACAAACACAUAGACGAAGCUGUAAGAAAGAAAGACCUCAUUGUCUAAUGAUAAGUCCUUGAGUACAUGAAAGCAGUAACUGCAGUAAACAGGCAAAGCCACUGAACUUAUCCAUACUUGAAGGGUACAGACAAGCCUCUGGGGGCACUAGAGAAGGCAAGAUGACUCCAUACACUGGAAUGCUACCAGGGUGGACUAGAAAUGACUGAACAGUAUUUAUAGGCAGUGUGCAAAGUGACAAAUAUACAACCCCACAAAGCAACUCGAGUAUUAUUCCAAGUGCCUUCAUGUCUCACUCUGAAAAUGGAGCCAACACUGCACGCUGAAGCAUCUCCUUUGGUAGUGGACUGAACCUAAUGCAUGCCUGGUAAGUGGCUACUGCUGAUGAAAGGCAGGGUUCUCACUACUUCCUAUUUAACAGAAAACCACCUCUGGGAAGCUCUGUGUAGAAUUCAUGAAAACCUAUGGUGAAUCAGAAGGAAAAAAGCCACUUGCAGCAAGACACUCUUCUUUUACCUGAAUUUCUAUAUCUUCCCCCAAGGCACCUGGCAAAGCCUGUCCAUGAGUAGGGUCCACAGCAGACCAGUCAUCAUGGUGGAGGAGAUCUCAUGGGUGGAACUUCUGACAACUGGAUGGACACCCUUUGCUUAGAUGUUAGAAUUCUGAUAACCAAACACAUACCAUGAAGAAACCAAACAGACCUAACAGUUCUCAGUAAGAUAGCAAGGAAGAAAAGAUGCUAACUAGCUAAGAAUUACAAAGGCACACAUACCUCAACAAAGGACUCUCCAUGAGUUUUAGCUUUUGCUUCACCUGUUCAAUCUCUGAAUACAAUUUUAACCCUUCAACCAUGGAGAUAUUUUCCUGCUCAGAGCUACAAUUUGCCAAACUGCUUCUCAGAUUAAAAAAUUUGCUGUAACUCUCCUCACAUUGAGACAACAGAUUGUGGUAGUCACGUCCUGAAGGAACUCAGUUUUCAAGAAUGUCAUAAUCCCUGAGAGUUUAAAAGCAAACUGAAAUCCAUUGCCUUUCAGACACAUUUUUUCUCAUUAAGAAAGCCCAUGGAGUCCUCAAAGACCCACUAAGAAAAGUGCUUUAUAACUCAGGUACAUGUUAAGUCUCUCUGAAUAGUACUCUAAGUGGUAACUGUUGAAAGUUUCAAACACCACUUCAUUGAAGUCAUUAAUUUUUCUUCUUUUGAGGAAUUGUUUUUUCUUAGAUCCAAACAUUUGUGCUUUAGAAUUACCUAAAGUUCAUUAAACUGAUAGUAAGAUCUAGAGCUUGAUGGGCUUCAGGAAAGACUUUUUGGCAGGAAUACUUCAAGUGAGGUAUGAUGUACUUGCAUCGGGAAGCACAUAUAGCAAGUCCUCUAAUAUCAGCCUUUCAUUGAAUGCCUUUCACUAUAUAAGGGAAUAAACAUCAAUUCC